GGCCUAACACAUGCAAGUCGAGCGCGCCUUUCGGGGUGAGCGGCGGACGGGUUAGUAACGCGUGGGAAUAUGCCCUUUGGUACGGAAUAGCCUCUGGAAACGGAGAGUAAUACCGUAUGAGCCCUUCGGGGGAAAGAUUUAUCGCCAAAGGAUUAGCCCGCGUUAGAUUAGGUAGUUGGUGGGGUAAUGGCCUACCAAGCCUACGAUCUAUAGCUGGUUUUAGAGGAUGAUCAGCAACACUGGGACUGAGACACGGCCCAGACUCCUACGGGAGGCAGCAGUGGGGAAUCUUGGACAAUGGGGGCAACCCUGAUCCAGCCAUGCCGCGUGAGUGAUGAAGGCCUUAGGGUCGUAAAGCUCUUUCGCCUGUGAAGAUAAUGACGGUAGCAGGUAAAGAAACCCCGGCUAACUCCGUGCCAGCAGCCGCGGUAAUACGGAGGGGGUUAGCGUUGUUCGGAAUUACUGGGCGUAAAGCGCACGUAGGCGGACCAGAAAGUUGGGGGUGAAAUCCCGGGGCUCAACCCCGGAACUGCCUCCAAAACUAUUGGUCUAGAGUUCGAGAGAGGUGAGUGGAAUUCCAAGUGUAGAGGUGAAAUUCGUAGAUAUUUGGAGGAACACCAGUGGCGAAGGCGGCUCACUGGCUCGAUACU
rnacentral:rRNA from 1 species